rnacentral:lncRNA from 1 species
GGCAAAUCGACAAAAUUUUUUUUUCUAUUUUUUCAUCCAAUUUCUACUGAUCUGAUCAUAUGACACAUAUUUUUUAAAAAAUCACAUAUUUCACAUCGAAGAGCCUAUAGCUCACAUAUUCGACAUCGAUAACAAUAUAAUCCACAUAAAUUAUCAUUUCCAUCACUUUGUCCAUCAUAACAAGUCCAAAUACUCCAAACUCAGUUCACAUACAUCCAAACUAAGUCCAACAUGUUCAAUAACCACAAUCCACAAAGUUCACAUAUUUAAACAAAAUAAGUGCAUCACUGUGAAGGCCCCCAAUUGAUAUGAGGGACACCUAGGCUGCAUACCGCAGGAGAGCCACCAUCUGGAGGUGUCGGCGAGAUCCCAGGUGUUGGAGAAAUGACAGGUUGCCACGUUCGAACCCACCGACGGAGGCUGCACAAAGCAGAACAUAGUUUAUUAUACAAGAUGACGACAAUAACUAGUUUAGGGUUUACUUGUGUCUUUGAGUUUCCUCACAGGAGUAUUAAUAGGAGUAGUAAAUACAUGCGGGGGUUGACAUGGAGCCAGUAGUGUAGCUGGCAGGGCUACACCCGUCUGGCCCCAACCGACUGCAGGAACGCUAUCAUUUCUGCCAUCAGUUGCUGAUGGGCAAGCUGGUCGGCCUCUCGCUGGCGCUCUUGAGCCUCCAACUGCUCGGCUAUCCUCUGCUGCUCGGCCCUUGAUGCUUCGAGCUCAUCCUACAACAUUUGAAAUCAAAUGUUAGAUUAAUGCAAAGGUAACAAAAGCAAUGCGAAGUAGAACUAUUGAAAAAUGAUGAACAACCUGGAGUGCGUCGACCCGGUGCUGUGCCGGCUCCGGCCGUGGGCGUAUGGGUGGGCGGUUGCUCACGCUCGUGGUCGAUGCUCGGAUCUGGGAGAGGGUGGGAGUAGUCGACCUGUCGAUGACGCUGUUGUCAAUCCAGU